rnacentral:misc_RNA from 1 species
GUUGUUUAUGCCAGUUACCAACCUGCAAAAAUUAUAUAAAAUAAACAAGUAAGCAAAAGAAUUAAUUCAUCACAUAAAUCCAAAAAGGGAUAACUACUGUUGCAGGCCUAAAACUUGAUUAUUUCUUAUUAUAUUAUCAUAUCUUUAAUCAUUUUUCUCCCUCUUAACAAUCAAGUAGUAACACUCUUAAAAUUGUUCAACAUUAGUCCUAUUUGAUAAUCAAAACCAGUAGCAGAAUCUAUUAGUCAACGCUAAAAAUGCUUCCUUUUUUUAAGACCUAAAACUUUUUAAGAAGUUACACACUUUUCUUUUCUUUUCUUU